GGGGCAUUAGCACAGUUGGCUAGCGCGCUACAUUCGCAUUGUAGAGGUCACCGGUUCGAAUCCGGUAUGCUCCACCA
rnacentral:tRNA from 3 species